rnacentral:RNase_P_RNA from 1 species
CAAGUUGACCGGGUGAUCGCGUGUUAUCGCGGGCUAUGGCUCCGAUAAUGCGAGGAAAGUCCGCGCUCCAGAGGGCACGGUGCUGGCUAACAGCCAGACGGGGCGACUCGGUGGAAUAGUGCAACAGAGAGGCGUAUUGCCCCGGUCCAGAUGGACCAGGGUGAGGGUGAAACGGUGCGGUAAGAGCGCACCGGCGCAGGUGGUGACACCGGCGGCCAGGCAAACCCCACCGGGAGCAAGACCAAGCAGGAACGAGGGGCGGCCCGUCCCAUUAAGUUCCGGGUAGGUUGCUAGAGGCGGCGCGUAAGUGUCGUUCCAGAUAGAUGAUCACCGCCUGCCGGGAUUUCGGUUCCGACAGGUACAGAACGCGGCUUACAGGUUGGCUUGAGUC